AUCCUUCUACUUUAACAACCCAAAUUACCAAGGUAUAUUCUUCCUUAGAGGCAGAGAAAAAGUAUUGCCAACAAAAAUUUGCUUCCGUUGAAGAGGCAAAUCGUCGUGCUAAUGAGGUUGGAAAAUCCCUUUAAUAGGAGAAAAAUCAUUGUGUUGAAGAUUAAAGGCCUCAUGAUGGCCAGGUGGCUGAGCUAAAUGAGAGGGUUUGGGAGUCUCUUUAUGAAUAAGUAAAAGUAUAAAUCAUAAUGAAAUGGACUAAAAAUAGUUAUGUAAUUUCAACGAUGUUACAAUGUUGAAUGGUGAAAUUGGGUUUUUUCCCUCAACCAUAAAGGCCCAAUAUCAACUCCUAUUUAAAGAGAAGUAAGAGAAGGGAAGGGUGGACAAUCUUGUGACUUAAAUUUCACGGUGAAGCGAUUUCUAAAUUUAUGGAGCAAAGGUUUUCAUCACCGAAAGUCAAACUUAAAUCAAAAGUUCGUGUAUUGUUUCUUCAUUACUUCAGUCAUGUUUACUAUGAGUAUGAAUAGUUAAGUUUUAUUGAUCAGGUCUUGUUAGACGAGCAUGUUGGGAUAAGUAUGAAUAGCUAAGAUUCAUAUGGCAUAUGUUUUAGAAUUGCAUAUGGCUAGGUUUUAUAUGCUUAUAAUAAUUUAUGUGUAAGUGUAGAUAUGUGAUAGAUUCAGUCAUUCAAGUCUCUUGUCUGGUGAUUGUAUAUGUAUAGACUUUUAAUUUAAUAUUGACUUUUUUAUUAAUAAGAUUCAAUUUAGACACCCCGGGAUAAAUUGAAUUCAGAAAAAUGAUGCAUUGAUCAUUUUGCGCCCUCAACUUCCAUCUUCUUUGUAUUUUAUGAUAUUAUGAGUAAACCAUGAAAUCAAUCUGAUUGCAUAUUUUAUAAAAUUCCACUUGUAAGCUUUUUGAACUCUAAUUUUGAAGAAAACGGUUUGAAAUAGGUUUUAAGGGAAAUGUCUAUUCAAAUCCACAUCCCUUUCUUGACCAUUCUUCACCCAUAUUCUUCCAAAUAGUUCUUUCUCCGUUGUGGUGACCUCCAUAAGAUGAGAUAUGACAAUACCAUAUGAUACUUAUUACUUUGUCCCAUCUACACAUCCGAUUUUAAAGUUGAUCAUAUCAGCAAACCAUGGUCUUUUCAAUAACCACAAAUGUUUUCUCAUCUCGAAACUCCUCUAAUAUUAUACUCUUCUCCUUAUUUGUAACAUCAUAAAUCUCUAGUCUUGAUAAGUGAUCAAAUACCACAUUCUCGACUCCCUUCUUAUCUUUGAUCUCCAGGUCAAAGUUUUAAAGAAAAAUAACUCAUAUUAACAAAUAGGUUUUGACUCUCCUUAAUUCAACUAAGUGUCUGAGCGUUGUACGAUGAUAUGUAAACACAAUAACUUUGGAACUAGUUAGAUAAGAGUAAAAAUGUCCCAAUACAAAUAUUAUGACGAGUAAUUCCUUCUUAAUGGUAGUCUAGUUUACUUUUCAUUCAAGAUUUGUUCACAUAAUAUAUAGUAUGGAUUUUAUUUUAUUUUAUUGACUUCAAGUUCGUAAUCACUAGCAUUGCAAAUCAGUUUAAAAAGUAAUGAUCAAUUAAGGAUUAUGAUUACGGAAGCGGUCCCAAAUCAAUUUAAAAAGAAAAUAGUCAAGUGAGGGUUAUGAUUACGAAUGUGAUGGCUAACUUUUCUUAAAUAAGUAUUAAAGAACUUAAACAAUCAUCAUCAAAUUUAAAGCAAAUCAAUUGUUAUUGAUCCAAAUAAUUUGUGUGAUUUUAUAUAACAUAUAUGACUAUAUUGUAAAUUGUAAUUCAAGCACUUUAAUUUGAAGUUGUUAUCGUCCACCUAUAUUCAACUACACAAAAUUGUGCUUUACCAUUAAACUUUAAAAAUUUGUACAGACCAUGAACUAAAUCCUAUCCAACAUACAAUAUACAGACAUUAACUAGCUUGAAAGUGAAUCAGGUUCAUAUAUCUAGAUAUUACAAGACAGUAAUGAUCAAACUCACGUACAUAUGUAAAAAGAGAAAUCAAUUAUAUACUAUACAUGGUCCCCAACACCACCGAUUUCAGCUAGCUAUCUAAUUACUCAACUCUCACUUGAAGCCACCUCUGCUGUAAUGAGACAUUUUGAUUUUAUGAGGUGUAACACACAAGGCUUCCAUAACCAUGCAAGAUGAAGAAUGUCGAAUGGUCAGCAACUCAUGUAUCUUCUUGGAGCCGAUGUGUCCCUCCUAUACUUUCCUAUGUUUCACUAUAAAUCCCUAUGCCAGAUUAAGGUUCUUCGCGUCACAAACAUAUAUUCUAUCCAACUAUGGCUACUAAGCUUCUUGCACUUUCUCUUUCAUUCUGUUUUCUACUUUUGGGGGGCUGUUUUGCUUUGAGAGAACAGCCAGAGCAAAAUGAGUGCCAGCUAGAACGCCUCAAUGCCCUCGAGCCUGAUAACCGUAUAGAAUCGGAAGGUGGGCUCAUUGAGACUUGGAAUCCCAACAACAAGCAAUUCCGAUGUGCUGGUGUGGCCCUCUCUCGUGCUACCCUUCAACGUAACGCCCUUCGCAGACCUUACUACUCCAAUGCUCCCCAAGAAAUUUUCAUCCAACAAGGUUACUUAUUUUAAUCUUAUACCAACUUCUUUACGUACAUUACAUGCAUAUUAGCAUACUAAUUAGUGUUCUACUAUACCAAUUACAGGUAAUGGAUAUUUUGGGAUGGUAUUCCCCGGUUGUCCUGAGACCUUUGAAGAGCCACAAGAAUCUGAACAAGGAGAGGGACGCAGGUACAGAGACAGACAUCAAAAGGUUAACCGAUUCAGAGAGGGUGAUAUCAUUGCAGUUCUGCCAGGUUCCUACUGGUAUUGUAUUUUGGAUGUACAACGACCAAGACACCCAGUUAUUGCCGUCUCUCUUACUGACAUUAGAAGCUCCAUAACCAGCUUGAUCAGAUGCCUAGGGUGAGCACUGAGCAUAAUUAAACUUCCCAUAUAAGAAUAUGUUGUCCAAAACAGUAACAUAGAUUCUAUCUAUCUAGUUUGACAGAGAUUCUAUCUUGCUGGGAACCACGAGCAAGAGUUUCUACGAUACCAGCAUCAACAAGGAGGAAAGCAAGAACAAGAAAAUGAAGGCAACAACAUUUUCAGUGGCUUCAAGAGGAUUUCUUGGAAGAUGCUUUCAACGUGAACAGGCAUAUAGUAGACAGACUUCAAGGCAGGAAUGAAGACGAAGAGAAGGGAGCAUUGUCAAAGUGAAAGGUGGACUCAGCAUCAUAAGCCCACCCGAGAAGCAAGCGCGCCACCAGAGAGGCAGCAGACAAGAGGAAGAUGAAGUGAAGAUGAAGAGAGGCAGCCGCGCCACCAGAGAGGCAGCAGACAAGAGGAAGAGGAAGAUGAAGAUGAAGAGAGGCAGCCGCGUCAUCAAAGGAGAAGAGGAGAGGAGGAAGAAGAAGACAAGAAAGAGCGCCGCGGCAGCCAAAAAGGCAAAAGCAGAAGGCAAGGAGACAAUGGGCUUGAGGAAACAGUUUGCACUGCUAAACUUCGAUUGAACAUUGGCCCGUCUUCAUCACCAGACAUCUACAACCCUGAAGCUGGUAGAAUCAAAACUGUUACCAGCCUGGACCUCCAGUUCUCAGGUGGCUCAAACUAAGUGCUGAGCAUGGAUCUCUCCACAAAGUAUGUUUUUUUCAUAUUUUAAUUUGUUUUUCCAUGAAUCAAUUUCAUGUCGAACUAUGUGCUAACUCAUUACAAUCUUCAUACAGAAUGCUAUGUUUUGUGCCUCACUACAACCUGAAUGCAAACAGUAUAAUAUACGCAUUGAAGGGACGUGCAAGGCUACAAGUAGUGAACUGCAAUGGCAACACACCCGGUUUUGAUGGAGAGCUAGAAGCCGGACGUGCAUUGACAGUGCCACAAAACUGGCUGCAAAGUCACUAAGCGACAGGUUCUCAUAUGUAGCAUUCAAGACCAAUGAUAGAGCUGGUAUUGCAAGACUUGCAGGGACAUCAUCAGUUAUAAAUAAUCUGCCGUUGGAUGUUGUGGCAGCUACAUUCAACCUGCAGAGGAAUGAGGCAAGGCAGCUCAAGUCCAACAAUCCCUUCAAAUUUCUAGUUCCAGCUCGUCAGUCUGAGAACAGAGCUUCGGCUUAGAUUUCGCACCAAAUCAAUGAAAGUAAUAAUGAAAAGUCUGAAUAAGAAUACUUAGGCUUAGAUGCCUUUGUUACUUGUGUAAAAUAACUUGAGUCAUGUACCUUUGGCGGAAACAGAAUAAAUAAAAGGUGAAAUUCCAAUGCUCUAUGUAUAAGUUAGUAAUACUUAAUGUGUUCUACGGUUGUUUCAAUAUCAUCAAACUCUAAUUGAAACUUUAGAACCACAAAUCUCAAUCUUUUCUUAAUGAAAUGAAAAAUCUUAAU
rnacentral:lncRNA from 1 species